rnacentral:rRNA from 1 species
UAAGGAAUAUUGCUCAAUGGGAGAAAUCCUGAAGCAGCAACGCCGCGUGGAGGAUGAAGGGUCUAUGACUUGUAAACUCCUGUAAAGAAGGAAAAAAUUCCCAUUAGAUGGGAGAUGAUGGUACUUCUGGAGUAAGCCCCGGCUAACUACGUGCCAGCAGCCGCGGUAAUACGUAGGGGGCAAGCGUUGUCCGGAUUUACUGGGGGUAAAGGGUGCUCAGGCGGAUUUGUAAGUCAGAGGUGAAAUCUUACAGCUUAACUGUGAAACUGCCUUUGAUACUUUUAUUCUUGAGUUCGGGAGAGAGCGACGGAAUUCCAGGUGUAGUGGUGAAAUACGUAGAUAUCUGGAAGAACACCAGUUGCGAAGGCGGUCUCUUGGUCCGACACUGACGCUGAGGCGCGAAAGCGUGGGGAGCAAACA